UUAAUUGAAGAGUUUGAUCAUGGCUCAGAUUGAACGCUGGCGGCAGGCCUAACACAUGCAAGUCGAGCGGUAACAGGAGAAAGCUUGCUUUCUUGCUGACGAGCGGCGGACGGGUGAGUAAUGUAUGGGGAUCUGCCCGAUAGAGGGGGAUAACUACUGGAAACGGUGGCUAAUACCGCAUAAUGUCUACGGACCAAAGCAGGGGCUCUUCGGACCUUGCACUAUCGGAUGAACCCAUAUGGGAUUAGCUAGUAGGUGGGGUAAAGGCUCACCUAGGCGACGAUCUCUAGCUGGUCUGAGAGGAUGAUCAGCCACACUGGGACUGAGACACGGCCCAGACUCCUACGGGAGGCAGCAGUGGGGAAUAUUGCACAAUGGGCGCAAGCCUGAUGCAGCCAUGCCGCGUGUAUGAAGAAGGCCUUAGGGUUGUAAAGUACUUUCAGCGGGGAGGAAGGUGAUAAGGUUAAUACCCUU
rnacentral:rRNA from 1 species